rnacentral:tRNA from 1 species
UGGCCUAUAGCUCAGGUUGAUUAGAGCACUGUCCCUUGGGCUGGAGACCCGGGUUUGAAUCCCGGUAGGCCAA